GUUAUUAUUACCUGAGACCCUGAAAGGAAGCACUAAAGAAAUGAAGACAGAGGAAUACCAGGAGAGAAAGGAGGUCCAGUUAGACCUAAAGGUGGGCAAGAAGAAGAAGAAGAGGAGUUUGGAUGCUUCAUCUCUGCUGAGACCCAGUGCCUGGCACUGAAGGUGCUCAGGAAAUACCUUCUGAAUGAUCGGAAGCCCCUGCCAUCUGCUAAACUGGAUCUAUGAUGACAGAAGCCGAGGAAUGUGAGGUUCAUCUAGAGAGUUCUUGUGAAUUUUCCAAGGGAGGCACCUGUUGAAUUCAGGCAUCGGCAUGUGACUUGAUUUGGUCAAUGAAAUGUGAGAGAAGUGACAUCCACUUUGAGGCAGGCACUUUCCGAGUUGCCCCGACGGCCACUCUCCAUACUGCUGCCAGAAGAACCUUGAAAUAUCGCUCUUUUUAAUUAAAAAGCAAAACUCUUCAAUU
rnacentral:lncRNA from 10 species